CCCCUCCCUUCAGAACAAGCGCUCGCGCUUGGCGAUUUGCACAUGCGCACUUUCUAGCAAAUAAUCUUUCAUACGCAGUAGAGGGAAAUCGGCUUUGACUAAAACUUUCAGCCGCAUCAUUAGUGACCUCUCAAAACACGCCUAUCCAUUUGAUCCGCCAAUCAACAAAUAGCAUUGCCGGUUGCUAUACAGACUUGUAGAUCUUAACUCUCCUCCCCCCUCCUCCUCCUCCAAGCACAUAUUUCUUCUGCUGACUGCAGCGAGCUGAGAAUCAUCGGAGACUUUAACUAUUACACUGCCUUUUCCAUAAUAUCCAUAAUAACAUAGUAACCAUAAUGUAGAGAUCAGACGGGAGGGACAAUUGGCGCAUGUGCAAUACAAUCAGGAAGCUCUCAACCCGGAAGAAAUGGCCGCCGGGUAAAUGCUUGAAUCUACCGAGAAAGAACGCAGUGGUGCAGGGAGCAGGAGGGGAAUUUCGGUGUGAAACUAAUGCGGUUUGGGUUGGGUUAAGCUUCAUCUGAAGGAGAAUCUCUUAAAGUGGCAGCACAGACAGUGGCGCAAAACAUCCUCCGCACAGUUUCUGCCCUACUUCUUUAGUUAAAGGGAUAUUCUGUUUAAGUGCUGUUUAAAAAAGAUCACCCAAGUGCCACCCCUCUAAACUGCCACCUUAGGUACUUUCCCUUGGUGCCACAUAGAAUACACGACCCUGGCACUGCCUACGCCAUUACAGAAUGAAUGCCCCCAAGCCUUAUGGGAAAUAUACUCCCCAAUGUCAGUUUUUUGGUAACUGCCAUUAAAUGUGGGAGCAAAUAGCAUCAUCCCUGUGCCUGUUAGGUGGGUGCUCCACAAAUAGAGGAGAAGCUCCUAUGACAAUACAGAGAGGAAUUGAUCUGCUAAUUAAACCUCUUGGCAUUUUUUGCCCCCAGGACUUGUUCACCUGGGGUACAAUACGAUCACUGUGAUUGGAGGAACCAAAGAUUAUGGCUCCAAGUGAACUUCAUACCCAAGUACUUUAGUGGCACUGCCCUUUUACUCCAGUCCGUUGGCCAUUGGGUGUGAGAGAAAUGUAUUAAUUCUACCUGA